AAGAUUGCUGCAAUGAUAAUUCAAUUUAGUAUGAGAGAAAUCCUUGAUUCAGAUAAUUAAUUUUUGUGGCUCUCUGAUCGGGGUAGUGGUGGCGACACUAUAAUCUACUCAAUUAUGACCGGAUGUCUCUAAGUCAGAAUCUAUACUGAAACACGGCAAUGUUGCCCCCCCUUGUUGUCGUUGAAUAUGAAAGGGGCCCUCGGGCUCAGCAUCUGAGCAGAACGGCGUCAGCGUCUGAGGAGAAACCCCGGGUGUCAGCCAGUGAAUUGCAAUGUCACCACGCGCAGGGAUAGAUCGUCUGCAGAUAACUGAAAUGAUCAAGCGGGUCGUGUAAGCAGUCUAGUGACCUUGUUGUUACGAGUCGCUGAGCGUCUGCCCUAUCCUUUGGGUUGAUUU
rnacentral:ncRNA from 1 species